CUACGGCCAUACCACCCUGAACGCGCCCGAUCUCGUCUGAUCUCGGAAGCUAAGCAGGGUCGGGCCUGGUUAGUACUUGGAUGGGAGACAAUUUGCUUUUCAAAUGUGCCUGUCUCUAAGAGAGCGGGAGCUAGU
rnacentral:rRNA from 1 species